rnacentral:lncRNA from 1 species
CCCUCACUGGCUUUCCACCGCACAAUAGUUAGGUGCAGCUAUUUGGCUUCAGACCGACUACCCCGUCGGAGAUAAUCCACAAUAUUGGGCAUUUGAUAGGAAGAAGAGGAUGCAAAGGAUGACAAUAGGUGCAUUGCAGCAAACGGUAUCAAAGUUGAAGAGAAACCCAAUUCAUUAAGAGGUACGCAUCUUCCCUGAUCUUCCUUUAUUCUACUUUCUUUCCUUUCUCGUAAGUACAAGUAGUGCUACUGCUUCAAAACCCAAACCUCCAAACCACCAAAUAU